rnacentral:rRNA from 1 species
CAGUCGCCACGGGAAUACAGAGGGUGCGAGCGUUAAUCGGAUUUACUGGGCGUAAAGCGUGCGUAGGCGGCUUUUUAAGUCGGAUGUGAAAUCCCUGAGCUUAACUUAGGAAUUGCAUUCGAUACUGGGAAGCUAGAGUAUGGGAGAGGAUGGUAGAAUUCCAGGUGUAGCGGUGAAAUGCGUAGAGAUCUGGAGGAAUACCGAUGGCGAAGGCAGCCAUCUGGCCUAAUACUGACGCUGAGGUACGAAAGCAUGGGGAGCAAACAGGAUUAGAUACCCCAGUAGUCACUGUCUCUUAUAC